CUAAUACCCAAUGAUAUCUCUAGAAGACAUCUGAAAGAGAUUAAAGAUUUAUCGGUGAUGGAUGGGGAUGCGUCUGAUUAGCUUGUUGGCGGGGUAACGGCCCACCAAGGCAACGAUCAGUAGGGGUUCUGAGAGGAAGGUCCCCCACAUUGGAACUGAGACACGGUCCAAACUCCUACGGGAGGCAGCAGUGAGGAAUAUUGGUCAAUGGACGAGAGUCUGAACCAGCCAAGUAGCGUGCAGGAAGACGGCCCUAUGGGUUGUAAACUGCUUUUAUAAGGGAAUAAAGUUAGUCUCGUGAGACUUUUUGCAUGUACCUUAUGAAUAAGGACCGGCUAAUUCCGUGCCAGCAGCCGCGGUAAUACGGAAGGUCCGGGCGUUAUCCGGAUUUAUUGGGUUUAAAGGGAGCGUAGGCCGGAGAUUAAGCGUGUUGUGAAAUGUAGACGCUCAACGUCUGCACUGCAGCGCGAACUGGUUUCCUUGAGUACGCACAAAGUGGGCGGAAUUCGUGGUGUAGCGGUGAAAUGCUUAGAUAUCACGAAGAACUCCGAUUGCGAAGGCAGCUCACUGGAGCGCAACUGACGCUGAAGCUCGAAAGUGCGGGUAUCGAACAGGAUUAGAUACCCUGGUAGUCCGCACGGUAAAC
rnacentral:rRNA from 1 species